CCGCGACCCUUACCUUCCCGGCGGGCGGCAGUGCUACCUCCCCACCGCGUGGCUGCUCCAGACCCCGCGAUCCUCCUCCCAAGGGCGGGUCGGGCGUCGCUGACGCAGCGGAGCAGCGUUCACACUCAUGGGCUUCCAGAGUUGGCUCGGCGUUCUCCUACCACCGGGCGACCUCGCUGUGCUCUCUCCCUGUCGCAGCGUUGACCUACUCCGGUACCUCUCAGUUCAGGUGCACCCAUCACACGCGUGACAGGCUACUGCCGAGAGGGAUCAAUAAUGAAUGUGCGUGAGGACUUGGGGCUGCUUCUUUCAACCUGUCUUGUUAGCCAUUCCUUUUGCCUGAAUAUACGUUUCCCUUUCGGCCAUGGUCAAAGCAAGACACCCAGUAAGCAGAUACUGCGACUACCACCGACCUGGGACUGGACCACUGUAUUUUUGUUUGGAGAGAGUCUUGUUACAUAGCCUGAGCUGGCUUUUGUAAUCCUUCAGCGUCUUGUUUUCCAAGUACUGCACGUACUACCACAUCUGGCUUUGUUUUUUUAUAGCAGUUUAUAUAAUAUAUUGAAGGUGCACGCUUUAGUUUCUGAAGGUGUGGACACUGUCUAAAUGAUAAACAUUUUAUGUGAUCUUG